GCCAUAGCCUUUUACCUACAAGAAUUUGCAUGUACUGGUUUAAGGAAAGCCCGUCACCGUAAUCACAAAGUGGUCUGGCAAGACUGUUCUGCCUUAAGGUCCUGGUCUGAAAGGAGUAAAAGCAUCAGACUUUAAUAUAUCUACUAGGUAGAAGACUGCUUUGGGUGAAAGCUAUGUUUUUCUGUUCUCAUAACAACAGAACACUCAACAACAUGCAACUUAAGGGAAGAUGGGCUUGUUUGGACUCAGUAUCAUGUCACAGAAGAACUGGCAGCAUAUCAACAUGCUCUCUCUGUGUGUUGUAGCUUGCUAACAUCUCAGCAGACUGAGAAGCAGAGACUUUGGGUAGAGCCAGCACCCUGCAUCCCAUAGGCCUGUCCAAUGCCCACUGUUGGGGCCUCACAGCCUACCAAGGUGGGUACCAGUUCAUUUGGGACUUCAGAUCUUGUGACAAGCUAUCAAGAAAGGAGGCCAGAUGUGCUGCCUAAGCCAUUGAUUUUUAUCCUUGCUAAAUUCAGAACCAAAGAAACAACUUCUUUGGAGAUGAUGUUUUGCCCUCCCAAAUGUGAAGACCUAGCAGUCAUGUUGGUAGGAGGAAUACAAUAUUACACCCAAGGGGAAGUGACUGAAGGGCUGCAUGAAGAAGAGGAGAAGCAAGAACAAGAGGAAAAGAGGAGGAGGAGAAAGGGGGAAGAAGUGAGAUAAGCAGGUGGAGGAAUCUGGUUUGUCUGUUACACCCACACCCAGAUUUCAGGUUGGAAUAAUUUAAUGUCCCCCUAGAUGGAGCUUUGUGAUUUCCGUGGGGCAGCCACAUAUGUGCUAUUAUCAGGAAGCCUCUUGCUCUCCACCUAAAUUUUACCUUGAUUUCUGAGUCUAUGUACUGAGCCUUUAUCUCUUCUGUUUUUGCUUUAGACCCCUGUUUUGUAGGUGAGAUGCUAACACCGGGAUGUUGGAUAAAUGUUCAAUGUACUUUGGCCUAAUUCAAGACUGAAACUGUUGGAACUUGUGUUAUCUCCUCAUGGACCCAGAUCAGCAUUUUAACUGUCUUUCCAAGAAGAUAAGGCUUAAAGUAAGCAAUCGCCACGUUAAAGUCAUUCUAGACAUAAAAAGAAAACUAAUCUACAAAUGAGAUUGUAAUAAUUAGAGCUGGAGAAUAUCUCCCAGUAGUCUACAAUCUUAACUAAUCAAAUUUAUUCAUUUUCCCUUCUCCAUAUUAGUUUUUACCCACAUGAGUACAUACUUUUUAUUUAGUUAUGAUCACAGCACUGAUUCAAAU
rnacentral:lncRNA from 1 species